rnacentral:rRNA from 1 species
UACGGAGGGGGCUAGCGUUAUUCGGAAUUACUGGGCGUAAAGCGCACGUAGGCGGAUCAGAAAGUCAGAGGUGAAAUCCCAGGGCUCAACCUUGGAACUGCCUUUGAAACUUCUGGUCUUGAGUUCGAGAGAGGUGAGUGGAAUUCCGAGUGUAGAGGUGAAAUUCGUAGAUAUUCGGAAGAACACCAGUGGCGAAGGCGGCUAACUGGCCCAUUACUGACGCUGAGGCUCGAAAGCGUGGGGAGCAAACAGG